rnacentral:ncRNA from 2 species
UGAAAUAAAGGUGAUGACGUUCACCUAUUAAAUGAUCGUAAGCAAAUGACCUGAUGACGUCUACUAAACU